CGUAGGUGGAACCUGCGGAAGGAUCAUUA
rnacentral:ncRNA from 2 species